rnacentral:rRNA from 1 species
CUACGGGUGGCUGCAGUGGGAAUAUUGGGCAAUGGGCGAAAGCCUGACCCAGCAACGCCGCGUGAUUGAAGAAGGUCUUCGGAUUGUAAAAAUCUGUCCUUGGGGACGAAAAAAAUGACGGUACCCAAGGAGGAAGCCCCGGCUAACUACGUGCCAGCAGCCGCGGUAAUACGUAGGGGGCGAGCGUUGUCCGGAAUUACUGGGCGUAAAGGGUGCGCAGGCGGCGCUUUAAGUCAGAUGUGAAAUACCCAGGCUUAACCUGGGGGGUGCAUUUGAAACUGGAGUGCUUGAGUGCAGGAGAGGAAAGUGGAAUUCCUAGUGUAGCGGUGAAAUGCGUAGAUAUUAGGAGGAACACCAGUGGCGAAGGCGACUUUCUGGACUGUAACUGACGCUGAGGCACGAAAGCGUGGGGAGCAAACAGGAUUAGAUACCCUCGUAGUC